rnacentral:rRNA from 1 species
GAUGAACGCUGGCGGCGUGCCUAACACAUGCAAGUCGAGCGAAGCACUUACUUUAGAUUUCUUCGGAAUGACGAAGUUUGUGACUGAGCGGCGGACGGGUGAGUAACGCGUGGGCAACCUGCCCUGUACAGGGGGAUAACAGUUAGAAAUGACUGCUAAUACCGCAUAAGCCCACAGCUUCGCAUGAAGCAGUGGGAAAAACUCCGGUGGUACAGGAUGGGCCCGCGUCUGAUUAGCUAGUUGGUAAGGUAACGGCUUACCAAGGCGACGAUCAGUAGCCGACCUGAGAGGGUGACCGGCCACAUUGGGACUGAGACACGGCCCAAACUCCUACGGGAGGCAGCAGUGGGGAAUAUUGCACAAUGGGGGAAACCCUGAUGCAGCGACGCCGCGUGAGCGAUGAAGUAUUUCGGUAUGUAAAGCUCUAUCAGCAGGGAAGAAAGUGACGGUACCUGACUAAGAAGCCCCGGCCAACUACGUG